AUCUCAAAAGUGAGAACGAGACUUUAAAGCUUACAGCUUCCGUAUAUCGACAGCCGCAGACCUAAAUGCGCGUCUCUUGCCUCCUUUCUGAGGCGAGCGUUUGACCGUUUCUAUAGAAACCGGUGCUUCUAAGAGGCGCUGCUGUGACGUGAUAACUUUAGCAGUCAGCAAUUGGACCUUAUUUAGAAGGCGGGACAUAUUCCGCCAUAUUGCGCAAUACACUUUCUCCCAUUCAAAACAAAACGAGUGACACGACUUGUGUUAUUCUAUAGUCUUUGAUAGUAACCGUGGAAACAGGUAUUGACAGCUGCGUGAUGUCUAGUGGCACGCCGUUUCAUGCAACACUAUGGAACAUGGCAAGCAAACUUGGAAUAAGAAUUGGAGCGAGGAUCAACCUCAGCAUGGCGUUUACGAAAUGCAGCAGUUUUGCGACUAACUCGACUCAACAGAUGCCGCUCUAAUAGACAGCUCCGCCUUGGUCCUCCAAGCCUGUGGUGUCGCCCUGGUUCUCCAUCCCUUUGUCUCCACCUUGAACACAAGAGAUACAGAGGACAAAAGUGAUCCCAAAUGCUGUGUGACGCAGCAUACAGGACCACUCAGUGGGCUGACCAAUGAAACUUUCCUAGUGCCAGGGGGACAACUCUGACUGCACACAGACUCCGGGACCUGUAACAGGGAUUUCAACUUCACACACUUUUGCACAUAUUACUGUAUGUAGAGAAAUAUAAGAUUCAUCAUCACCACCACAAAGAAUAAACUUAAUUUUAAUUUUAAAUUUCACAUUUUAA